rnacentral:lncRNA from 1 species
CAAAAGUCCACAUGAACUACAAAUUUCAACCCUAGUCCUGCACAAUGGGUAACUCUCGCGCUUUUCCACCUCCACAAUCGCUCUCGCGCGAUUCGGUACAUAAAAUAUUACGACUUUUGCGAAUUUCCCGAUUUUCCACUCUCGACCCCUUAGCGAACUUAUUGCAAUUCCUAAAGAUCCGUCCAUCGGAUUUCCGAUCGGAUCACGCCAACGCGUUCAGCACGUCGAGGUAUCGAAUCUAGCAUUUCGUUUCGUCAGAUUUGAUCUCCGAUUCACGACGAAAUCCAAUCUCUC